rnacentral:rRNA from 1 species
ACUCAAAGGAAUUGACGGGGGCCCGCACAAGCGGUGGAGCAUGUGGUUUAAUUCGAUGCAACGCGAAGAACCUUACCUACCCUUGACAUCCAUAGAAGCCAGCUUAGGGGCUGGUGUGCCGAAAGGAGCUAUGAGACAGGUGCUGCAUGGCUGUCGUCAGCUCGUGUCGUGAGAUGUUGGGUUAAGUCCCGUAACGAGCGCAACCCCUAUCCUUCGUUGCCAUGCCGCAAGGCGGAACUCGAAGGAGACUGCCGGUGACAAACCGGAGGAAGGUGGGGAUGACGUCAAGUCAUCAUGGCCUUUAUGGGUAGGGCUACACACGUGCUACAAUGGGGCGUACAGCGGGAAGCGAACCUGCGAAGGGGAGCGAAUCCUGAAAAACGUUUCGUAGUCCGGAUUGGAGUCUGCAACUCGACUCCAUGAAGUUGGAAUCGCUAGUAAUCGCGGAUCAGCAUGUCGCGGUGAAUACGUUCUCGGGCCUUGUACACACCGCCCGU